rnacentral:rRNA from 1 species
UACGAAGGGGGCUAGCGUUGUUCGGAAUUACUGAGCGUAAAGGGCGCGUAGGCGGUACUUCAAGUCAGGCGUGAAAGCCCCGGGCUCAACCUGGGAACCGCGCUUGAGACUGGAGAACUAGAGUUCGGGAGAGGAUGGUGGAAUUCCCAGUGUAGAGGUGAAAUUCGUAGAUAUUGGGAAGAACACCGAUGGCGAAGGCAGCCAUCUGGACCGACACUGACGCUGAGGCGCGAAAGCGUGGGGAGCAAACAGG